GCGGCAGGUGCGCCUCUCUCUCUCUCUCUCUCUCUCUCUCUCUCUCCUAUGAUGUGCCUGGAGAGCGAGGGCGGAGGGGCGGCGGGGGCCACAACGGGGGCCCCCCAUUGCAACACCCACAGCAGUGGGCGACGCCAGAGGGUCUCUUCCUCCGCCCUGGGAGACGAUGAAGAGGAGGACGACGGAGGAGGAGGAGGAGGGGGAAGAGGAGAGGGGAUGAAGGCUCCUGCCACCACUGCUUGUGCUGCUGCUCCUUCCUCCUCCUCCUCUUCCAGCCAUGGCGGGCUCAAUGGGAGCCUGGGCAAGGCGCGCGUGGCCGCCGCAGCCAUCCUCAGCGCAGGAAACGUCCUCAAUUACCUGGACAGGUACACCGUCGCAGGGGUCUUGCUGGACAUCCAGCAGCAUUUCGGGGUCAAGGACAGCGGGGCCGGCCUCCUGCAGACAGUCUUCAUCUGCAGCUUCAUGGUGGCGGCACCCAUCUUCGGCUACCUGGGCGACAGGUUCAACCGGAAGGUGAUCCUCAGCUGCGGGAUCUUCUUCUGGUCGGUCAUCACCUUCUCCAGCUCCUUCAUCACGCAAGAGUAUUUCUGGCUGUUUGUCCUCUCGCGGGGCUUGGUGGGCAUCGGCGAGGCCAGCUACUCCACCAUCGCGCCCACCAUCAUCGGCGACCUCUUCACCAAAAACACCCGGACCCUCAUGCUGUCCGUCUUCUAUUUCGCCAUUCCUCUGGGCAGUGGUUUAGGAUACAUCACCGGCUCGAGUGUCAAGCAAUUGGCUGGGGACUGGCAUUGGGCCCUCCGGGUCUCUCCCCUCCUCGGCGUCAUCACUGGCACCUUGAUCUUGAUCUUCGUCCCAGCGGCCAAACGGGGCACGGUGGAGCCCUUGGGGGCCCAGCUCAAGGCCCGGACCUCCUGGCUGAGAGACAUGAAGGCCCUCGUCCGCAACCGCAGCUACGUCUUCUCCUCCUUGGCCACCUCCGCCGUCUCCUUUGCCACGGGCGCCCUGGGCAUGUGGAUCCCGCUCUACCUCCACCGGGCCCAAGUGGUCCAGAAGACGGCCGAGACCUGCUCCGCCCAGCCCUGCGGCACCAGAGACAGCCUGAUCUUCGGGGCCAUCACCUGCUUCACGGGCUUCCUGGGCGUGAUCACGGGGGCCGGGGCCACCAAGUGGUGUCGGGGGAAGACCCAGCGGGCCGACCCCCUCGUCUGUGCCGUGGGGAUGCUGGGCUCCGCCAUCUUCACCUGCCUCAUCUUCGUGGCAGCCAAGAGCAGCAUCGUGGGUGCCUACGUCUGCAUUUUUGUUGGCGAAACGCUUUUGUUUUCUAAUUGGGCCAUCACUGCCGACAUCCUUAUGUAUGUGGUCAUUCCUACCCGUCGGGCGACGGCAGUGGCUUUGCAGAGCUUCACAUCGCACCUUCUGGGAGACGCUGGGAGUCCCUACCUGAUUGGAUUUAUUUCGGACCUGAUCCGUCAGAGCACCAAGGGGACCGCGCUGUGGGAGUUCCUCAGCCUGGGCUAUGCGCUCAUGCUCUGCCCCUUCGUGGUGGUCCUGGGCGGGAUGUUCUUCCUGGCCACCGCCCUCUUCUUCCUCGGAGACCGAGCCAAAGCCGAGCAGCAUCCUGAUUGGGAUGCGCUGGCCCCGGGCAACUCCAUUAACUCGGAAGACGCGGCCCCAUGAUAACCGCGAGGGAUUUCGGGGGGCCAACCAACUGAUGAUGCCUCCAGCUUCUGUGAAAGUCUAAGUCUGGCUGACAUCUCCGGCGAUGAAGGAAACCUUUUGUGAGCGGCCAAGAAACCCCCAAACAAGCACCCGGAGCAAGGAGAGCUCUCCCUCGCCACUGGGAAAGACCGCCGGGAGACCUCUUCCUAGACACAACGAGCCUCUAUGGCUUCCAUGGCACCGAGUGCUGUGACGGCAGCCUCGAAAGCAGUGCUCCCCUUCGCCCCAAAGAGAAACACUUGAGACAGCAGGGCACACGACGGGACUUUGGGCCAAUGGGGUGGAUCUCGAACCCUUUUGACAAUGGUCUUUACCUCCAGCCAAAACUUUAGAAGGAACGCUUGCAAAAUCCUAGAUGACAACGAUAUUAUUAUUAUUAUUUUGCCUCCAUUUGCAGAAGUCCAAAAAGACUAAACUGGGCAGAGAUACAUCUCAUGUAUAUUUUGGUGAAUGAUCUUGGGGUUAGUAUGGGGAGACAUAGCGAUGGGAUAAGCAUAUGCCUCUCUAGAUGCAAGUUCUUGCAUAUGUAUGUGU